rnacentral:tRNA from 1 species
GCCUUCAUGGUGCAGUGGUCAGCAGGCUUGAUCCGUAACCGAUAAGUCCGUGGUUCGAUUCCCGGCGAAGGCG